rnacentral:rRNA from 1 species
ACGGUCCUAAGGUAGCGAAAUUCCUUGUCAGGUAAGUUCUGACCCGCACGAAAGGCGUAACGAUUUGGGCGCUGUCUCAGCUGUAGACUCGGUGAAGUCUUAGUACCUGUGAAGAUGCAGGUUACCCGCGACUAGACGGAAAGACCCCAUGGAGCUUCACUGCAGGUUGAUAUUGGGAUUUGAUGCAGCAUGUACAGGAUAGGUAGGAGGCAAAGAGAUGGAUACGCCAGUAUUCAAGGAGCCGCUGUUGGGAUACUACCCCUGUUGUAUUGGAUUUCUAACCGGACGACGUAGAGCCGUUGACGGGACAGUGUCAGUCGGGCAGUUUGACUGGGGCGGUCGCCUCCCAAAGAGUAACGGAGGCGCCCAAAGAUACCCUCAGCUUGGAUGGAAACCAAGCGCAGAGUGCAAAGGCAAAAGGGUGUUUGACUGCGAGACCCACAAGUCGAGCAGGGACGAAAGUCGGGCUUAGUGAUCCGGCGGUGCUGAAUGGAAAGGCCGUCGCUCAACGGAUAAAAGCUACCCUGGGGAUAACAGGCUGAUCUCCCCCAAGAGUCCACAUCGACGGGGAGGUUUGGCACCUCGAUGUCGGCUCAUCGCAUCCUGGGGCUGUAUUCGGUCCCAAGGGUUUGGCUGUUCGCCAAUUAAAGCGGUACGCGAGCUGGGUUCAGAACGUCGUGAGACAGUUCGGUCCCUAUCUGUCGUGGGCGUAGGAUAUUUGCAAGGAGCUGUCCCUAGUACGAGAGGACCGGGAUGGACGCACCUCUGGUGCACCAGUUGUCACGCCAGUGGCACAGCUGGGCAGCUAUGUGCGGAACGGAUAAACGCUGAAGGCAUCUAAGCGUGAAGCCGCCCUUAAGAUAAGAUAUCCCUUCUGUUUACAGAGUAAGACCCCUUGAAGACUACAAGGUUGAUAGGCUCAAAGUGUAAGCACGGUGACGUGUUUAGCUAGCGAGUACUAAUCGGUCGAGGGCUUAACCUU